rnacentral:rRNA from 1 species
UAUAAUUUAUUAUUAAUUAAUGUAUCUUAUUUAUAAUUUUUAUUAAUAAAAAUAAUUUUCUUUUUAGUAUUAAUUUUAUUGAAUUAAUCAUCUUGUUUUAUAGUUAAUUUUACUGUGAAGGUUAUAUUUUUUUAUAUUAUAAGUAGAAUUUUUUAUUUGUACCUUUUGUAUCAGGGUUUAUCUAUUUAUUUAACUUAUGAGUUAAUAUCCCGAAAUUAUAAGAGAUAUAAUUUUUUGCUUUUUAAUGUUUCAUAAUUAUUUGAAAAUUUAUUAUAGGGUUAUAUGCCAUUCAUUUAUAAAUAUCUGGUUCUUUAAUAAAUUAAUUUAAUUAAGGUCUAAUUAUUUAUUCAGGAGUUAAUUUUAUUAUUGCCUUGCUUUAAUUAGUCUAAUAUUUAUAGGGAUAAGCUUAUAAAUAUUUUUAUAACCAUUAUAUUUAUCAAAAUAGUUGUAGGAUUAGAAACUUCCAUCAUAAAUUUCGUUAUAGUUUAUAUUAUAAGAUAUAUUUUAUUUAUUUAUGGUUUAAAUUUAUAUUAAAGUAUUUUAUUUAAUUUAUAAUUGAAAGUAAUAAUGAUAAAAUUAGUAAUUUUUUUUAUUUAAAUUAUAGUAACUCGGCAAAUUUAAUAUUCACCUGUUUAUCAAAAACAUGUCCUGUUGGUGUUUUAUUUCAGGUCUGGCCUGCCCACUGAUGUAUAUUAAAGGGCCGCAGUAUUUUGACUGUGCGAAGGUAGCAUAAUCAUUUGUCUUUUAAUUGUAGGCUUGUAUGAAUGGUUUGAUGAGAUAUUAACUUUCUUUAUUUUAAAUAUUGAACUUAAUUUUUUAGUUAAAAAGCUAAAAUUUUUUUAUGGGACGAGAAGACCCUAUAGAAUUUUAAUAUAUUUAGUUUUUAUUAUAUUUAGGGGUUUAUUAUUUUAAAAAAUAAUUAUAUUUUUGUUGGGGCGACAGGGAAAUUUUAUUAACUUUCUUUAUUAAAUAAUAUUAUUAAUUAGUAUUUUAAUGAUCCUAUAUUAUGGAUAUCAAGAUUAAAUUACCUUAGGGAUAACAGCGUAAUUUCUAUGGAGAGUUCUUAUCGAUAUAGGAGUUUGCGACCUCGAUGUUGGAUUAAAUUAAGAUUUUGGUGUAGCAGCUAAAUUUCUAGGUCUGUUCGACCUUUAAAUAUUUACAUGAUCUGAGUUCAGACCGGCGUGAGCCAGGUUGGUUUCUAUCUUUAAAAUAGUGUUUAUUUUGUAGUACGAAAGGACCCAAUAUAAUAGAUAUUCUAUAAUUAUUGAAUAUAAUUAAUAUU